UUCGCAAUGCCCGAAAGGGUGACGAAGCGACGCCGCGUGUGGGAAGAAGGCCUUCGGGUUGUAAACCACUGUCGGGAGUUAAGAAAUGUAAGGGUGUUAAUAGCGCCUUUACUUGACAAAGGCUCCGGAGGAAGCCACGGCUAACUCUGUGCCAGCAGCCGCGGUAAUACAGAGGCGGCAAGCGUUGUUCGGAAUUAUUGGGCGUAAAGAGCACGUAGGCGGCUUUGCAAGUCAGUUGUGAAAGCCUUCCGCUUAACGGAAGAACAGCAGCUGAUACUACAGAGCUUGAGUACGGGAGGGGAGAGUGGAACUUCUGGUGGAGCGGUGAAAUGCGUAGAUAUCAGAAGGAACGCCGGCGGCGAAAGCGAUUCCCUGGUCCGAAACUGACGCUGAGUGUGCGAAAGCUAGGGGAUCAAACGGGAUUAGAUACCCCGGUAGUCCUAGCCGUAAACGAUGGGCACUAAGUAGAGGGGUUUU
rnacentral:rRNA from 1 species